UACGUAGGGGGCUAGCGUUGUCCGGAAUCAUUGGGCGUAAAGCGCGUGUAGGCGGUCCGGUAAGUCCGCUGUGAAAGUCGGGGGCUCAACCCUCGAAAGCCGGUGGAUACUGUCGGGCUAGAGUGCGGAAGAGGCGAGUGGAAUUCCUGGUGUAGCGGUGAAAUGCGCAGAUAUCAGGAAGAACACCAAUGGCGAAGGCAGCUCUCUGGGACGGUACUGACGCUGAGACGCGAAAGCGUGGGGAGCGAACAGG
rnacentral:rRNA from 1 species